UACGGGGGGAGCAAGCGUUGUUCGGAUUUACUGGGCGUAAAGGGCGCGUAGGCGGCUUGGCAAGUGGAAGGUGAAAUCCCUCGGCUCAACUGAGGAACUGCCCUCCAAACUGCUUUGCUUGAGGCCGGGAGAGGCGAGUGGAAUUCCCAGUGUAGCGGUGAAAUGCGUAGAUAUUGGGAGGAACACCAGUGGCGAAGGCGGCUCGCUGGACCGGUUCUGACGCUGAUGCGCGAAAGCGGGGGGAGCAAACGGG
rnacentral:rRNA from 1 species